rnacentral:tRNA from 1 species
GCAGUCAUGGCCGAGUGGUUAAGGCGAUGGACUAGAAAUCUAUUGGGGUCUCCCCGCACAGGUUCAAAUGUUGUCGACUGCG